rnacentral:rRNA from 1 species
UACGUAGGGGGCUAGCGUUGUCCGGAAUCAUUGGGCGUAAAGCGCGUGUAGGCGGUCCGGUAAGUCCGCUGUGAAAGUCGGGGGCUCAACCCUCGGAUGCCGGUGGAUACUGUCGGGCUUGAGUACGGAAGAGGCGAGUGGAAUUCCUGGUGUAGCGGUGAAAUGCGCAGAUAUCAGGAGGAACACCAAUAGCGAAGGCAGCUCGCUGGGACGUUACUGACACUGAGGCGCGAAAGCGUGGGGAGCGAACAGG